rnacentral:rRNA from 1 species
GAUGAACGCUGGCGGCGUGCCUAAUACAUGCAAGUCGAGCGAACAGAUAAGGAUCUUGCCCCUCUGUCAUUUGCGGCGGAGGCGGGAGUAAAACGUGGGUAACCUCUCUCUAUGACUGGGAUAUCAUCGGGGAAACGGAGCUCUAAUCGGAUAAAAUUUCGAACCGCAUGGUUCGCUAGAGAAAAAUAGGUUUGUUAUCACACUUAGAUGUACCCGCGCCGUAUUAGCUAGUUGGUAAGGUAACGGGGUACCAAGGCGACGAUACGUAGCCGACCUGAGAGGGUGAUCGGCCACACUGGAACUGAGACACGGUCCAGACUCCUACGGGAGGCAGCAGUAGGGAAUCUUCCGCAAUGGGCGAAAGCCUGACGGAGCAACGCCGCGUGAGUGAUGAAGGUCUUCGGAUCGUAAAACUCUGUUGUUAGGGAAGAACAUACGUGUAAGUAACUGUGCAUGUCUUGACGGUACCUAAUCAGAAAGCCACGGCUAACUACGUG